rnacentral:rRNA from 1 species
UACAGAGGUCUCAAGCGUUGUUCGGAUUCAUUGGGCGUAAAGGGUGUGUAGGUGGCGCCGUAAGUCGGGUGUGAAAUUUCGGAGCCUAACUCCGAAACUGCAUUCGAUACUGCGGUGCUUGAGGACUGGAGAGGAGACUGGAAUUCAUGGUGUAGCAGUGAAAUGCGUAGAGAUCAUGAGGAAGACCAGUGGCGAAGGCGGCUCUCUGGGCAACAACUGACGCUGAGGAGCGAAAGCGUGGGGAGCGAACAGG